rnacentral:rRNA from 1 species
AGAGUUUGAUCCUGGCUCAGGAUGAACGCUAGCGGCAGGCUUAAUACAUGCAAGUCGAACGGGAUUCGAGGUAGCAAUACUUUGAUGAGAGUGGCGCACGGGUGCGUAACGCGUAUGCAACCUACCUUUAACUGGGAGAUAGCCCCGAGAAAUCGGGAUUAAUACCCCAUAACAUUACGAAUUGGCAUCAAUUUGUGAUUAAAGCUCCGGCGGUUAGAGAUGGGCAUGCGUGACAUUAGCUGGUUGGUGAGGUAACGGCUCACCAAGGCAACGAUGUCUAGGGGUCCUGAGAGGGUUAUCCCCCACACUGGUACUGAGACACGGACCAGACUCCUACGGGAGGCAGCAGUAAGGAAUAUUGGUCAAUGGGCGCAAGCCUGAACCAGCCAUGCCGCGUGCAGGAAGACGGCCCUAUGGGUUGUAAACUGCUUUUAUCAGGGAAUAAACCCCCGCUCGUGAGCGGGGCUGAAGGUACCUGAGGAAUAAGCAUCGGCUAACUCCGUGCCAGCAGCCGCGGUAAUACGGAGGAUGCAAGCGUUAUCCGGAUUCAUUGGGUUUAAAGGGUGCGCAGGCGGAUUGGUAAGUCAGGGGUGAAAUCCCACAGCUCAACUGUGGAACUGCCUUUGAUACUGUCAGUCUAGAGUAUAGUUGAAGUUGGCGGAAUGUGUCAUGUAGCGGUGAAAUGCUUAGAUAUGACACAGAACACCGAUCGCGAAGGCAGCUAGCUAAGCUAUAACUGACGCUCAUGCACGAAAGCGUGGGGAUCAAACAGGAUUAGAUACCCUGGUAGUCCACGCUGUAAACGAUGAUUACUCGAUGUUGGCGAUACACAGUCAGCGUCUGAGCGAAAGCAAUAAGUAAUCCACCUGGGGAGUACGAUCGCAAGAUUGAAACUCAAAUGAAUUGACGG